UAAUACGAGGGGGGCAAAUGUUGUUCGGAAUCACUGGGCGUAAAGGGAGCGUAGGCGGGCUUCUAAGUUGGAUGUUUAACCCCGGGGCCCAACCCCGGAUCGGCAUCCAAAACUGGAAGUCUUGAAUAGUGGAGAGGACGGCGGAAUUGGGGGUGUAGCGGUGGAAUGCGUAGAGAUCCCCAAGAACACCAGUUGCGAAGGCGGCCGUCUGGACACAUAUUGACGCUGAGGCUCGAAAGCAUGGGGAGCAAACAGG
rnacentral:rRNA from 1 species